GAUUUGCUGUGCGGUGCGUCAGGUCCUCAUUUCCCGGGGGCUACAAGCUUUAUGCUCAAGGGAGCUGUCACUGUCGGGAUCCUGGUCUCGAUACACGGCGCCCACCUGGAUUACCAGGUCCUUGAGGAUUGACAUGACCAACGGCCGAUAUGGCGUCGUC
rnacentral:other from 1 species